CCUACGGGGGGCAGCAGUAGGGAAUAUUGCUCAAUGGGGGAAACCCUGAAGCAGCAACGCCGCGUGGAGGAUGAAGGUUUUCGGAUUGUAAACUCCUUUUGUUAGAGAAGAUAAUGACGGUAUCUAACGAAUAAUCACCGGCUAACUCCGUGCCAGCAGCCGCGGUAAUACGGAGGGUGCAAGCGUUACUCGGAAUCACUGGGCGGAAAGAGCGCGUAGGCGGGAUAGCAAGUCAGAUGUUAAUUCCAAGGGCUUAACCAUCGAACUGCAUUUGAAACUGUUAUUCUAGAGUAUGGGAGAGGUAGGUGGAAUUCUUGGUGUAGCGGUGAAAUGCGUAGAGAUCAAGAGGAAUACUCGUGGCGAAGGCGACCUGCUGGAACAUAACUGACGCUGAGGCGCGAAAGCGUGGGGAGCAAACAGGAUUAGAUACCCCAGUAGUC
rnacentral:rRNA from 1 species